rnacentral:rRNA from 1 species
AUUCUGACUGUGCGAAGGUAGCAUAAUAGAUUGUCUUUUAAAUGGAGGCUUGAAUGAAUGGUUGGACAAAGUAUCAUCUGUUUCUUUAAUAAUUAUUGAAUUUGACUUUUAAGUGAAAAGGCUUAAAUAAAUUAAAAAGACGAUAAGACCCUAUAAAUUUUUAUAAAAAAUAUAAUUUUAAUUUGAAUUUAUAAGUAUAUAAAAUAUAAAUUAUAAUUUUAUUGUGCUGGGGUGGUGUAGAUAUAUAAUUUAACUGUUUAUAAAUUAAAAUCAAUAAUAAUUGAUUAAUAUAAUUGAUCCUUUAAGAGAUUAAAAGAUUAAAAUACUUUAGGGAUAACAGCGUUAUUUUUUCUAAGAGUUCUUAUUGAAGAAAAAGUUUGCGACCUCGAUGUUGAAUUAAAAUUUCUUUUUGGUGUAGCAGCUAUAUAAGAGAGUCUGUUCGACUUUUAAUAUUUUACAUGA